GAUGAGUGCGGACAAAAGACGAGAGUGAUGCUGUGUUUCCUUUUUUACUCUGAAAACACAGCAGGGCAAGGGGGGGGGACACACAUUUCUCAGGGGUGCAAACUGUGACAUAACACCUGUAAACAUACAGUCCUCAUGAGGUCGUUUGGACAUUGGGUGCCCUACCUCUUUUCAUGGCCAAACCUACUUCCUGGUGGAUGAGACAGCGCCUCGGUGUUGUCGUAGUAAGUAGACUGGGCAGCAGCUGUGUGGAGUGAAGCUGGACUCGGUUUGCUGAUGGUCUGCAGUCGUGAUACAGCAGUUAGUUAUCACACUUUUUUUUUUUUUUUUUAGUUUCUAUUUCUAAAGAACAGAAAAAAAAAAUUUAAAAAUAAAAAAUGGGAAGCACGGUGACGGAGUCUAACAAGGAGAGCUCAAAGAAAAUGCCAAAGAAGAGGAGAAGUCUGCGGAUAAACAUGCCGGACUUUGGUACAUUUACUUCCCCACAAGUGGAGACGAGUGGCUCAACCAAAAGUGGUGCUCAGACGGGGGAGCGCCGCAUCCGUUCAGCCAGCCCCAUCAAAGGAGUGAGCAGCCCGGCCAGCGCCCUUCUGCCGCCAUGUCCUCAGUCUGCUCCAGUGCCUGCAAAGCCCAGCUCAGGUUCACCCAAAACUAUCUUCCCCUAUCCCUCCCAUCAGGACUCCCCACCCAAGUCCCCCCGUCGCCUGAGCAUCAGUGGUAUCUUCCGCUCCUCAUCCAGCUCCUCACCUACAAGCAUCAAAAUCUUCUCCAGGACCAGGAGAGCCUCAGGACUCUCCACACCACCACCCACCACACCAACCCAGUCAUCCAGCCAACCCGUGUUCACCCAGGAGGCCCAGCUGACCAGGCCCAGCCCCGAACGCCUGGAGCCCACCUCCCGAUCCCGCUCACUCUCCACGCCUCCGGACACAGGACAGCGUCUCAGCCUUCCCUCUGCCAAACCCCCGAUCCCUUCCUCAAGUCCUGUGCCAUCUUAUUCUACCUCACAACAAGUCUACGGUUUGUUCGAAGGCAUGCUGGAGAAACUUGAACUAGAUGAUGAUGCUGCUGAACCUGAGAGUGAUAUUUACAUGCGCUUUAUGAAAUCCCACAAGUGCUACGACAUCGUGCCCACGAGUUCAAAGCUGGUUGUGUUCGACACAGCGCUCCAAGUUAAGAAAGCGUUCUUUGCCUUGGUAGCCAACGGUGUGCGAGCUGCUCCGCUAUGGGACACAGAGAAGCAAAGCUUUGUGGGAAUGCUGACAAUCACAGAUUUCAUCAUCAUACUACACAGAUACUAUAAGUCGCCGAUGGUGCAAAUUUAUGAAUUAGAGGAACAUAAGCUUGAGACGUGGAGAGAGGUUUACCUUCAAGCUACGUUCAAACCUCUGGUCAACAUAUCACCCGAUGCAAGCUUGUUUGAUGCAGUGUACACCCUCAUCAAAAACAAAAUUCACCGCCUGCCUGUCAUCGACCCUGUCACGGGGAAUGCACUUUAUAUUCUCACACACAAGAGGAUCCUCAAGUUCCUCCAGCUUUUUAUGUGUGAAAUGCCAAAGCCAGCUUUCAUGAAGCAGACUCUCGGGGAGCUGGGCAUUGGGACGUAUCACGACAUCGCUUUCAUCCACCCGGACACGCCCAUCAUCAAAGCGCUCAAUAUCUUUGUGGAGAGACGAGUGUCUGCCCUGCCCGUGGUGGACGAGUCUGGCAAAGUCGUGGAUAUUUACUCCAAGUUUGACGUGAUCAACUUGGCUGCUGAGAAGACGUACAACAACCUGGACAUCACAGUGACACAGGCUCUGAAACAUCGCUCUCAGUACUUCGAGGGAGUCAUGAAGUGCCACAAAAUGGAAACAAUGGAGACCAUUGUGGACAGAAUAGUGAAAGCUGAAGUGCAUCGGCUGGUGGUGGUGGACGAGCUGUCCAGCAUCGAGGGCAUCGUCUCCCUGUCGGACAUCCUUCAGGCUCUGGUGCUCAGCCCUGCAGGUAUAGAUGCUCAGCGUCGCUAGCCUCAACUCCCCUUCUGUCCUGGACCCUGAGUUCUCUCCCCACCCCGCCCUCUAACCCUGUCCCGGACGCCUGUAAAGAGGAGACCCUGACUGAGUGAGAGGGGGGGUGGGGGGCUUCAGCUAUAGUGGUGACAUGGUUGGGAGUAAAUAAGUUUGAAGGUUGAGGUAGGGAACGUGAGACUGAGCAGAGUCAGUCUGAAGGACCCAGAGACGCCUGCAACUGAUGCACUAUAGAGGCUUAGAAACCAAAGAGCUAGACAGCUGAAUGAAGUGGAGUUCCUGCACUGAGGAUUGAUUUUCUUUUCUUUCUUUUUUGUUUUUGUUUUGUUUGAACACUGAUCAGAUGAACACACAUACACGGUGUAUUGUAUUUACACACACACACACACACACACACACUCAUACGCAAACAUACAAAGAGAUGGUCACCAGCGGAGGGGAAAAGAGGUGAGAAAGUCGAGAUGAACAAAUCGGGGCUUCACUGUUUUGGUUGUGUAGUUAUGAUCACGCUGCUGUCAUCAGUUUAUUUUUAGUUGCAUUUCGUAGUCAAUACUGAACCUCCAGGAAAACCUGCAUUCUUCUCAGUAUUUGUUGUAGAAAGGUGAACAUUCACAGAUGCAACUUAUUGUCUGGUAGCAAAACUACACUUCACCUACAAUGUGGCCAUUUUAUGACUUCUGUCAUUAAAGGAAGUGCCAAUAUGGAGGGACUGAUGCCCGAUCUUUAUUUGUGCCUUUUGUUUGCCUUUGCCCUAACCAGUUACAAUUGGCAGUAUUUAUGUCCUUUGACUUUUUAUUGUCAAACGAGUGCAAUUAUUUGGAAUUUCUUUAGAGGUGAAUGUGUAAUAUUUUAGGAGUUGGCAAAUUGUACCUGGAAAAAAUAUUUUUCUUUAUUUGGUUGUAUUUAGGGUGAUUUUUAAAACCAUGUCCGAGGUGUGGAAACAUAAACAAUAGAUUUCAUUCUAAAAAAGAUCCUAAAAUCCUAAAAUAGAAUCAGUCAUUUUAGAAUAAAAACACAGUGGCCAGAGGCAAAUACACCUGUAGAUGAAUCAGGAUUCUCUCAGCCAAGAACUAAGAGUCAGUACCAUUUUACAUCAGAGGGGUUAGAGUCAUUGCGACUUAAGCAUUGUUUUUAACGGUAUAACACGACCGAGAAAUGUCUUUUAAGAUGUUUAAAAUGAUGAAAAGGUAGUUGUUGUUUUUUUUUUUUACCUUUUAUUUUUUUCAGUUGUAUUGAUGCUUCAGAUAAUCUGACACUCAAACAUGCAAAUCAAAAAAACUCUAUCUCAGCUGUAGCUCGACAGGACUCAUCUCCAUCUUUGACUGUAAAUAGGAUCGUUUUUUUCGGGAAACGUGUCACAUAAAACUUUAUUUUUAUGAAUGUGUCAACAUGUUUAAAGAGACUGCAGUUUUAAUGUUAUUUUUGUAAAUAUAUUGUGGCAAUAUGUCCGGUUCAAAGAGACUUUGUAUCAGAUCAACAUGUACUGUAAAUGUGCAAGCAUGAGAAACUACACUUCAGCAGUAUGAAUGUUCUUUGUUUUACUUUUUCUAUUUUUCUGGCUGCAGGAAAAUAAAUGGACACUGAAUGUACUUUA